rnacentral:lncRNA from 1 species
CAGCCAUCCUUCCUGCCCGGAGCUGGGUGAGGUAACCUCUCUGUGUGCCAAAGGCAGGGGCACAGGGAGUGAUUCACAGCUCUGCUCGCCUUGUUUGUCUACUUCACAACCAGCCCCAGCCCUCCGCGCCUAGUGCGGAUCAGCUGUUCUCCGUACCUAAGCGUAUCUCUGGUUUAGCAGGGCAAGCAGAUCCUGUUUGCUGAAUGCUGUCAGGACCAGCCCCACAGGGGACCCACGGCCAGCCAGCACCAAGAGAAGCCUGCUUUGCAGACAGGACUCAGGUUAUCUGGAGGGAAAGGUGAGUGGGAGAGUCUCCGCCUUCCCUACCCGAGUGUGCAGUGACUCGCGCAGUCUCUUUAUCAUUCGCAGGGUCACGUGGCGCUGCGGAAGUGGGCACAGUGCCCCGCGGUGUGAACUAUGGGCUUUUCAGAAUCCAACAGGCUUGUGGGGCGCAGUCCAUGCCAGUGAC